GACGAACGCUGGCGGCGUGCUUAACACAUGCAAGUCGAACGAAGAGCGACGGAAGCUUGCUUCUAUCAAUCUUAGUGGCGAACGGGUGAGUAACGCGUAAUCAACCUGCCCUUCAGAGGGGGACAACAGUUGGAAACGACUGCUAAUACCGCAUACGAUCUAACCUCGGCAUCGAGGAUAGAUGAAAGGUGGCCUCUACAUGUAAGCUAUCACUGAAGGAGGGGAUUGCGUCUGAUUAGCUAGUUGGAGGGGUAACGGCCCACCAAGGCGAUGAUCAGUAGCCGGACCGAGAGGAUGAACGGCCACAUUGGGACUGAGACACGGCCCAGACUCCUACGGGAGGCAGCAGUGGGGAAUCUUCCGCAAUGGACGAAAGUCUGACGGAGCAACGCCGCGUGAGUGAUGACGGCCUUCGGGUUGUAAAGCUCUGUUAAUCGGGACGAAAGGCCUUCUUGCGAAUAGUGAGAAGGAUUGACGGUACCGGAAUAGAAAGCCACGGCUAACUACGUG
rnacentral:rRNA from 1 species